GCUAGGUCGGUAGGGCACUGCAGGCGAGCUAGCUUUUCGGGUUCGUUCGGACACGCGCGUUCGGGAGGCAGGAAAACUCGGCAGGCGUAAACAGUGAAAAAACCGUUCUCCUGCUUGUGGGUGCGUGCCGGACCGUGCGUGCGUGAACAGUUGGCAAACAGUUGGCGCUGAGGGAAAAUCUGUCUGCAAUCGUGUGCGAAAGAGUGUGGUGUGUGUGUGUGCGCGCGGUUUUCUUUCCAUUGCUAUCUUUGUGGUUGGUGAUUGUUUGCCGGAUUGUGUUGUUGUUUUUUUUUUGUGGCGUUUUUCUGGUACUCCCCCCAGUACACACACGGUGCCUCAGCUCAUCGAGUUAGCCAGCGCUAGACCGUGCGGCGGGCGGGCCGUUUUCGCCAUUUUCUCCAAUCAUCGAGUCAACAUUUGCAUCGCCUAGCAACAUCCGACCGUACGGGCAACACCAAGCAGCAACAAUCAACCAUCGAAUCAAGCCGUAACAGGCCUUCGUCGGCGCUGCGGGCACGGCCCGCGAAACGUACGCGGCGUACGCGUACAGCAAAUUUGAGCUCAGCUACCCUCCCAACGGAAGUCCGUACUUGCAAAAGAGGUACUGUGACAACAAAAAGUCCUGCCCGCCCGAGUGAACCCCCAAGUUCGUCUCACUCGGCAUCGGUUGCCGUGUUGCACUCAGCUGUAAAGCAUCACGCACUAGCAAGGGUACAAAAGGUAGCCGAAACAAGGUAAUGCGACCAAGUGGUGAUGCAGCAAAAGUGAAGAGUGCUACAACCAAGUAAGAGAGAGAGAGAGAGAGAG